UACGUAGGGUCCGAGCGUUGUCCGGAAUUACUGGGCGUAAAGAGCUCGUAGGUGGUUUGUCGCGUUGUUCGUGAAAACUCACAGCUCAACUGUGGGCGUGCGGGCGAUACGGGCAGACUGGAGUACUGCAGGGGAGACUGGAAUUCCUGGUGUAGCGGUGGAAUGCGCAGAUAUCAGGAGGAACACCGGUGGCGAAGGCGGGUCUCUGGGCAGUAACUGACGCUGAGGAGCGAAAGCGUGGGGAGCGAACAGG
rnacentral:rRNA from 2 species